CCUACGGGAGGCAGCAGUGAGGAAUAUUGGUCAAUGGGCGCAAGUCUGAACCAGCCAUGCCGCGUGAAGGAAGAAGGUUCUAUGAGUUGUAAACUUCUUUUGUCAGAGGUCAAACGCAGGUACGCGUCUCUGUCUGAGCGUACCGUACGAAUAAGCAUCGGCUAACUCCGUGCCAGCAGCCGCGGUAAUACGGAGGAUGCGAGCGUUAUCCGGCUUUAUUGGGUUUAAAGGGUGGGUAGAGGGGGUGUUAAGUCAGGUGUGAAAGUCUGGGGCUCAACCCCAAAAGAGCAUUUGAUACUGGCAGUCUUGAGUACAGUGGAGGUAGGCGGAAUGCGUGGUGUAGCGGUGAAAUGCUUAGAUAUCACGAAGAACCCCGAUUGCGAAGGCAGCGUAC
rnacentral:rRNA from 1 species